GACGAACGCUGGCGGCGUGCUUAACACAUGCAAGUCGAACGAUGAACCCGGAGCUUGCUCUGGGGGAUUAGUGGCGAACGGGUGAGUAACACGUGAGUAACCUGCCCUGGACUCUGGGAUAAGCGUUGGAAACGACGUCUAAUACCGGAUAGGACCUUGGAUCGCAUGAUCUGGGGUGGAAAGUUUUUUCGGUCUGGGAUGGACUCGCGGCCUAUCAGCUUGUUGGUGAGGUAAUGGCUCACCAAGGCGUCGACGGGUAGCCGGCCUGAGAGGGUGACCGGCCAGACUGGGACUGAGACACGGACCAGACGCCGACGGGAGGCAGCAGUGGGGAAGAUUGCACAAUGGGCGAAAGCCUGAUGCAGCAACGCCGCGUGCGGGAUGACGGCCUUCGGGUUGUAAACCGCUUUUAGUAGGGAAGAAGGGCUUCGGCUUGACGGUACCUGCAGAAAAAGGACCGGCUAACUACGUG
rnacentral:rRNA from 1 species